AAACGACUCUCGGCAACGGAUAUCUCGGCUCUCGCAUCGAUGAAGAACGUAGCGAAAUGCGAUACUUGGUGUGAAUUGCAGAAUCCCGUGAACCAUCGAGUCUUUGAACGCAAGUUGCGCCCAAAGCCUUUUGGCCAAGGGCACGUCUGCUUGGGUGUCACGCAU
rnacentral:rRNA from 1 species